CGAUCUCCUGACCUCGUGAUCCGCCCGCCUCCGCCUCUCCAAGUGCUGGGAUUACAGGCAUGAGCCACCGCGCCCGGCCCUUGUAUUUUUAAACUUUGACUUUAUGGAGACGAACACCAUCGUUUGCUGAACACUUGAAACAUGAUGAAAGAGCCACAGAGUUGGCAGAACUGUUUGAAAAUGCUGUGCAAGCGGUCUUCUCUGUCUUCUUUAUGGCCAGUAAAAUUCUCCAGAAGAGAUUUAUGGCAGCCUCACUCCCAGUAGUUUCUGCAUUUAGUGAGAUAAGUACCCUGGGAUGUCACUCAAGUCUCUUUUUAAACC
rnacentral:lncRNA from 1 species